UGAAAACAGAAUAGAAGUAGAUGUCUUUAACAGAGUCAAAGAAAGUUUUCUCUUGAGCUAUCCACCUUUUAGCAAUUGAGUAAGGUAUCAUCCUGUGAACAAAAUUUGGAACAUAUCUGUUUCUCUCUGCCUGGCUUCCCCAGAAUUCAGAAACUAUGCCACCAAACUCCAAAUGGUCAUGAAACCAGAGUCUCAGACUACGACUCCCUUUUACUGUGGACCCUUAGAUAGUCCUCUGAAGGAGAUCUGACUACCAUGUUCCCAAAACAGCACCCUGUCAGCAGGAAGCAGUCAAGAUCGGUUUUUAUCUCUAUUCUAACAACAGUUAGAUGUACCUCUUCAGAGGGGGAAAAUGAUAGCAAUAGGAGGCAGACAAAUACCUAGGCAGAUAGGGUUGGGUCCCCAGUGAAACCCCACUUUCAAGCCAAACACAGUCCCAAGUAAAUCCUUGCACCAGAUUGAGAAACUGUCUUCCUGUUUGGUGCACUUUCCUCUGAUUGAUCCCCAUACUUCACCUAUUUCACAUAUAUCUACCUUUCUCUGUUAUUUUUUUUAACACUGUUAUGACCUCCUUUGAGUGGUGCCUUUAACCUUUUUGCAUACUUAACCAAUCAGCAUGCAUUCCCCUAUUCUGAGCCCAUGAAAUGCCCCAGACUCAGUCACACUGAGAGAGAAACCACCCAACUGCAGGGUGCAGUUGGUUGCAGAACAAGAGCUCAGGAACUACCAAAUGCAAGUACAAGCUAUAGCACAGGCCAUCUGAGUGGACAAGGCACCUCCAGCAGCAGGCCCAGGGCCAAGUGAGGCCCAGGCAGGGGGGAUGCAUCACCAGCCAUGGAGGUCCUCGGUUGGCAAAGUGGCAACAAAAAAUCCUGCAUCGUUUCCAUGCAUUUAAAUUACCUGGUCCUUGAAGGCAUUUAAGUUUGAAAUUCCUGAGUGAAAGAAUAAGAAUGAGCAUUAUAUUUAUAAAAAUAAAGAUUUGAAUUCUA
rnacentral:lncRNA from 10 species